ACUAACGCCCUCUCUGUUCCUUCUAUUCAAACGUAACAUAGUCGGAACACCUCGCCUCCGUCGCACCGGAGCUCAUCGGCGGCAGUGGAGGAGCUCCUACCUCCACCAAAACGAAACCAAUCAAAAUAAAACUUCGAUCUAAACCUAAAUACGAAAUUAAAUCUCCCUAAUUCUCAACGAACCAUCCGAAUUGAAUGAGAGUUUCCAUGAAUCUCAUGAUUUGAUGGUUAAAUUAAAUGGUGAAAUCGUGAUAAUUCAUCUAAUUAGUUUAGGGAUAAUGAUCCUCCGGUGGAACCCUACGCUCCGGUAACGAGCUUAAAGUGAAACGAGGGAAGAAGUAAAUACCUCCGAUGUGAGCUUCGACAGGGAUGGGCAGUGGAAGAAGAACGUGGCUACUCCAAUUCAGGUGGUAAGUUCCAUCUUCUGCUUUGAGCUUAUUCUUCUAUUUUCCUAUUCUUUUUUCUCUGCUUCUGAUCUUCUCCUCUACUUCUGUGGAAUUCUGGCUGAGUCCAAGCGUGAACAUGAUGCUGAGAAUUGAGAGUUGAGAGUUUGAGUGGUGCUUCUUAGCUCUGCCGUUUAGAGCUUCAAAUGUUGAAGCUCUCACAAUAAUGGAAUGAGCGUAUCCUGAGUGGUCAGAGAAUGAUUAGGAGUUGCAAGAUUUUUCUGGAAAUUCAACUAUCGAAUCCAAUGAUGAACGAGUCAAAGGCUUUUUAUAGGACUUGAUUAGGGGUAGAUUAGGAAGGAAUUAGAGAAUGAAAGUUAGUUAGAUCGAAUGAGCUGGAAAAAAUGAAUUUCUGAAAUGUAAGUUUCAAUGUGGAAAUAGAUCACGUGGAAUUUGGCAUAUAUUUUACUCUCUAAUCCAUUUGCUUCAAAUCUCCAUUCAACUGUGGAUAUCUAAACUGGAUUGCCUUGGAUUGGUUUAGCUGUCUUGUUUAGAUUCUGCAAGUUCUCCACUCUUGUGCUUACUCUUGCAAUUUGUAUCCAAUUCAGAUGCCACUGACUUAAGGGCUUUGCAAGGUUUUUUAUUCACUGUGUUAUGUUAUUCUGUGACUCUAUUAUUAUGUCAUUAUGGUAUGCACUGUCAUUUUGAAUUGCAAGUCCUACAUUGGCAUGUUUUACACUAUAACACUGCCCUUAUUUAUUCAUAGUUUGUCUCCCUGUUGUCUUCUUUGGAACUGUCUUGGCAUGGUAGGGUUUGUGGCAUAUGUGUCUUUUGGCUCAUGCCCAUCUGCUAGUUUCUGGCAGUAGGGAACCAGCUCUUGGAAGUAGGUUUAAUAAUCAACAUUACAGUGUAGCGCUACAAUGCCUUGGCUUGGUGAUGGGAAUAUUGGAUUUUCCAUAAUGGUUUGCAUAGCUUCCUGUUAUAAAUGAUUAUAUUAUUUCAUUGCACUCCUGAAUUGCUAUUUCAUGUGUGCUUUUCUUCAUGGUCUGGCUGGUUUGCUGGAAGUUUGUGCAGGUUGUGUAAUUGAUCUUGGUCAAGUGGUGAUAGUGACAAGACUGCAGGCAAAGUCAGUUCAUGGCUUGCUACAACAAGGUGCUCAUAAUGAUGGUUAGGGGGUGAAGGGUUGGCUUGCAGCAGUUUGCUCAUUUUAGGAUUUGAUCCAAAUGCUUGGCAUACUGAAUUCUGCUGCUACAUCAUGGUCAUGGUUGGAUGGGUGAACAAACAUGGUUAAGCAAAGGCUUGGAGUAUGGCAUUAAAAUGGGAUCUAGAAGCUACAUGUACAAAAGCCAAACCAAAGAUCAAAAUAGGAUUCGAAACUUAGGAUUAUAAUCAGAGAUUAGGGAUUUAGGGUUUUUUGGGAUGAGGUUGACUUUGGUAAAAGUUGACCAAAAAGUCAAUUGUUGACCAAAAAGUCAACCGUUGACCAAAGUCAACCUUGGUCAACACUUCAAAUUUUGUGUAUAUUUUGUUCUUCUCUUUUCUUUUUUUUGUGUAAUGAACAUUUUAUCCUUUGUAAUGGAAAUUGAUAUUCAUGAAUGAAGUAAGUUUGGAUA